UACGGAGGAUGCGAGCGUUAUCCGGAUUUAUUGGGUUUAAAGGGUGCGUAGGCGGGUUAUCAAGUCAGCGGUAAAAUCGUGGAGCUCAACUCCAUCCAGCCGUUGAAACUGAUGAUCUUGAGUGGGCGAGAAGUAUGCGGAAUGCGUGGUGUAGCGGUGAAAUGCUUAGAGAUCAUACAGAACACCGAUUGCGAAGGCAGCUUACCAAGCUACUUCUGACGUUGAGGCACGAAAGCGUGGGGAGCAAACAGG
rnacentral:rRNA from 1 species